rnacentral:rRNA from 1 species
AGACCGAUAGCGAACAAGUAGAGUGAUCGAAAGAUGAAAAGCACUUUGAAAAGAGAGUUAAAAAGUACGUGAAAUUGUUGAAAGGGAAGCGUUUAUGACCAGACUUGGGCUUGGUUAAUCAUCUGGGGUUCUCCCCAGUGCACUUUUCCAGUCCAGGCCAGCAUCAGUUUUCCCCGGGGGAUAAAGGCGGCGGGAAUGUGGCUCUCUUCGGGGAGUGUUAUAGCCCACCGUGUAAUACCCUGGGGGGGACUGAGGUUCGCGCAUCUGCCAAGGAUGCUGGCGUAAUGGUCAUCAACGACCCGUCUUGAAACACGGACCAAG